rnacentral:rRNA from 1 species
AGUGAACGCUGGCGGGAGGCCUAACACAUGCAAGUCGAACGAGUGGCGGACGGGUGAGUAAUGUCUGGGAAACUGCCCGAGGGGAGGGGAUAACUACUGGGAACGGUAGCUAAUACCGCAUACCAUCGGAUGUGCCCCGAUGGGAUUAGCUUUUAGGUGAGGUAACGGCUCACCUAGGCGACGAUCCCUAGCUGGUCUGAGAGGAUGACCAGCCACACUGGAACUGAGACACGGUCCAGACUCCUACGGGAGGCAGCAGUGGGGAAUAUUGGACAAUGGGCGCAAGCCUGAUGCAGCCAUGCCGCGUGUGUGAAGAAGGCCUUCGGGUUGUAAAGCACUUUCAGCGGGGAGGCGUUACCCGCAGAAGAAGCACCGGCUAACUCCGUGCCAGCAGCCGCGGUAAUAC